rnacentral:lncRNA from 1 species
AUCUCCUUCGGGAGGAUCAACAUGCUCAGUUAACAAGUUUUGAGAUCUAGUGAUAUAGCUGGUUUGAGCUCGGGUCAAAGGUUUUUGAAAUGCCGAAUUUAUAGCUUAUGUUGUUGAGAUAUGUCAAGGCACCUUUUAAUUUUUCUAUCUAAAAUUGCCAUGAAACUUCCAGAGACAAUUGGGCCAAACUCAUGAGCUUCACAAAUUAGGCACUCGAUAAAGUUUGCUUUCAAAGGCAUCCAUAAAGCACGACUACGCAAAAGAGAUUGCAUAUAAAGCAACACGUGGCUAUGACCCAUUUGUCGCAGCAUUUCUUUGGAUAAGGAAAUGGAUGAAGGGGUUACCGAAAUGGAUGAAGGGGUUACCAACAAUGCCUAUUCCACGACUAACUAAUAAUAUAAUCAACAACUACUCCAGCUUUCUCAUCGAUCACGAGCAAACCUAAAAAGAGUCUGCGCCCCUUGCUUAGAGUUACCACAGACGGACAUGGCUUCA